rnacentral:rRNA from 1 species
UACAGGGGGGUGCAAACGUUGCUCGGAAUCAUUGGGCGUAAAGCGCACGUAGGCGGUCUGUUAUGUCGGAUGUGAAAGCCCUCAGCUCAACUGAGGAAGUGCGCCCGAAACUGCAGAGCUUGAGUGCCGGAGAGGGUGGCGGAAUUCCCCAAGUAGAGGUGAAAUUCGUAGAUAUGGGGGAGGAACACCGGUGGCGAAGGCGGCCACCUGGACGGUAACUGGACGCUGAGACGCGAAAGCGUGGGGAGCAAACAGG